rnacentral:rRNA from 1 species
GACGAACGCUGGCGGCGUGCUUAACACAUGCAAGUCGAACGGAAAGGCCCGGCGUUUGUGGGGUGCUCGAGUGGCGAACGGGUGAGUAACACGUGAGUAACCUGCCCUUGACUUUGGGAGAACUUCAGGAAACUGGGGCUAAUACCGGAGAGGAGCUCCUGCUGCAUGGUGGGGGUUGGAAAGUGUCGGCGGUUGUGGAUGGACUCGCGGCUUAUCAGCUUGUUGGUGGGGUAGUUGCUUACCAAGGCUUUGACGGGUAGCCUGCCUGGGAGGGUGAACGGCCACAUUGGGACUGAGAGACGGCCCAGAAUCCUAUGGGAGGCAGCAGUGGGAAGUAUUGCACAAUGGGCCGACGCGUGAUGCAGAAGCGUCGCGUGCGGGAUGACGGCCUUCGGGGUGUGAACCGCUUUCGCCUGUGACGAAGAGUGAGUGACGGUAAUGAGUAAAGAAGCAACGGCUAACUACGUG